rnacentral:rRNA from 1 species
GACGAACGCUGGCGGCGUGCCUAAUACAUGCAAGUAGGACGCAGUUGCGAACGGGAGAGUAACGCGUAGGUAACUACCUAUUAGAGGGGGAUAACAAUUGGAAACGAUAGCUAAUACCGCAUACUAGUAGAUGGACCUGCGUUGUAUUAGCUAGUAUGUAGGGUAAGGGCCUACCUAGGCAACGAUACAUAGCCGACCUGGGGGGGUGGUCGGCCACACCGGGACUUGGACACCGCCCAGGACCCUACCGGAGGCAGCAGUAGGGGAUCUUCGGCCAAGGGGCGAACCCUGACCGCGCAACGCCGCGUGAGUGAAGAAGGUUUUCCGAUCGUAAAGCUCUGUUGUUCAGGAAGCGGUACUUAACCAGAAAGCGACGGCUAACUACGUGCCAGCAGCCGCGGUAAUUC